CAGCCAUAUCACAUUGAAACACUGAUUCCCGUCCAAUCAUCAAAGUUAAACAAUGUUGAGCCUGGUCAGUACCUAGAUGGGUGACUGUUUGGGAAUACCAGAUGCUGCAAG